rnacentral:pre_miRNA from 1 species
UCCUCAUUUCACACACUCUCUCGCCUCUCUGACCGGUGAGAGAGUGCGUGAAAUGAAGAGA